rnacentral:tmRNA from 1 species
GGGCUUGACUGGAUUUGACAGCGGGUUGGAAUGGUACGUAAGCACGCAGAGCGUCGAUGAUUGGCUCUUAAAUCUCAGUUGUCAAAAAUUAAUUGGCGAAAACAAUUACGCUCUCGCUGCCUAAUCGAAGUACAGUAGAUUACUGGCUUUAUCCCGUCACAAGGUGAUGGGACGAGACAUCGCUCCAAGGAUGUUGUUCCGAAUCUAAGGGCUUAGCGGUGCAGGUAAAUCGGAAAUAGUCGGGCAAUGCCUCGCUUGCUCGGUGAAGUUUUAGAGGAUAAGGUGCCGGUUGGUGGUCCAGGUCUUGCCGUCACACGAAAAUCAAAGGCUGGAAUAAACGUGUAGAAAGCGUAUGGUUUCCCUGUUUGGACGAGGGUUCGAAUCCCUCCAGGUCCAC